CGACGUGGGAACCUACCGUAUGCAGGGGACAACAGUCAGAAAUGACUGCUAAUACCGCAUAAGCACACAAUGCUGCAUGGCAUGGUGUGAAAAGAUUUAUCGGCAUACGAUGGCCCCGCGUCUGAUUAGCCAGUUGGCAGGGUAACGGCCUACCAAAGCAACGAUCAGUAGCCGGCUUGAGAGAGUGACCGGCCACAUUGGGACUGAGACACGGCCCAGACUCCUACGGAAGGCAGCAG
rnacentral:rRNA from 1 species